UUUUGUUUUAUAUGAGUAAAAAUAUUUAGUAAACACAUUGUCUUGCCCCUGACAUCACAAGUCUUCUGACUCAGAGAUCUGCCAGACCUUGAAACAACUGCAGGAUAAACUAAUUCCUGGAGACGAACAUGCAGUGCAGUACUUCAGGAGCUGAAGGCUAAGAAUUAAACGCUGUGUAUGUGGUAAAAACACUAACAUGAUUAUCUAAGUAUAAGAUCACCUCAGCAUAGCUUACAAUAGAAAGUAAGAAACAAUGUUUUCUUGUAAGCAAAGGAGAUUUCUGAAGCUGCCAGAAGAGCAAGCAGUGCAUGUAGGGAAUGACAUUCAAAUGGAACCACAACAGUAGUCAUGUCUGUAUAUGUAGCCCAGAACUUCUCUAUGCAUUUGACAGUGAUUUAGCUAAGGCUGUUAGAAGACAGCAUGAAGUUAUUUUAAUCUUCCCAAAUAAAUUUCACACUAGUGAGAAUUUCUGUUACAAUAAUAGGCAAUUUGCGUGUUGCCCAAACUCUAUUCACUUCUUCAAUAACAUAGUCUCUGGUAUUUCAGUUUGUUAGUCCUGGGAAAGGGUUUAAAGCAGCAUGAAAAAAACAAAGGGGAGGAAAA